rnacentral:rRNA from 1 species
UGGUAGUAAAACUUUUCUUUAAAACCCCCAUAGUUUGGCGGCGUUAUCUCUUACCAAAGGAACUCGUUUUUUAAUCGAUAACACUCGUUAAAUUUUACUUGUCUUCACCGCAACUUAUAUACCGCCGUUCCAAAAUUAACUUUAUAAACUCUAAUUAAAUAUAACUCUUAGUAUAUCAGGUCAAGGUGUAGCUUAUACUCAAGCCAAAAUAAGUUACUAUAAAGUCUAUUUAUGAACGUCUCGAUUUAAACCCAACCAAAACCGGAUUUGAAUUCAAUAUUUUACCACUAUUUUAAUAUGAAUUAGCUAAUAUACGUGC